ACGUAGGAUGCGAGCGUUGUCCGGAUUUAUUGGGCGUAAAGAGUUCGUAGGUGGUUUGUUAAGUCUGAUGUUAAAGAUUGGGGCUCAACCCCGAAAAUGCAUUGGAUACUGGCAGACUUGAGUGUGGUAGAGGCUAGUGGAAUUCCCAGUGUAGCGGUGAAAUGCGUAGAUAUUGGGAAGAACACCGGUGGCGUAGGCGACUAGCUGGGCCAUAACUGACACUGAGGAACGAAAGCCAGGGUAGCGAAUGGG
rnacentral:rRNA from 1 species